GCUAGCUCUGCCCCCUUGGUGUGUGGGGAUCUCUGGUUAGCAGCAUCUUUGCAGCUUCACAGCAGUGUGCAGGAUACCAGGGACAUGUCAUUGUCAGCUCCGCUUUUGGGGUGUGUGGGUCCCUAAUUAGCAGCUGGAAUAGUAUCUUGUUCACAACUUCAGGGUGGUGUGCAGGCUACCUGGGAUGUGUUAUUGCCAGCUCCACCUUUGGGGUGUGUGGGUCCUUGUCUAGCAGUGGCAUUCAUUCGGGGACAGCAAAGGAAGAAUUUCACUGUACAGGGAAACAUGUUUCUUUACUGUGCAUAUGAAAAUAAAACUUGAAACAUCUUUAUUUCACCAAAAAUGUGACACAGAAAAUCUCAUCCAAAAAUGGCAGCUGUUGCACAUUUUUUUUUUCUUUAAUUAUUUGCUGAAAUUGCAAAAUAAAUGUAUUAAGAA